UGCGAUCAUGAUACUGGUCCUGGGAGGACCUCUCUGAAUGAGUAGGACUUCUCCUAUAAUCAUGAUGACGGCUUCUUUCAUAUGGGGAUUUAUCACGUCCAUAUGGAGACCUCUCUCGUCCAUAUGGUGAUUUCUCACGUCCAUAAGGUGAUCUCUCACGUCCAUAAGGUGAUCUCUCACGCCGAUAGGGGGAUCUCUCGCGACGCACUGGACUCCUAUCCCUGUAAUCAUAGUACCUGACUCUAUCACGUGGGGACCGCUCAGAAAAAACUGGACUGCGUCCAUGCCUAUCAUAAACUACUUUGGAAGAUAAAG
rnacentral:lncRNA from 1 species